UACGUAGGUGGCAAGCGUUUGUCCGGAAUUACUGGGUGUAAAGCGCGUGUAGGCGGGAGGCCAAGUCUGCUGUGAAAUCGCCCGGCUCAACUGGGCGGGGUCGGUGGAAACUGGUCACCUGGAGGACGGUAGAGGCGAGUGGAAUUCCCGGUGUAGUGGUGAAAUGCGUAGAGAUCGGGAGGAACACCAGUGGCGAAGGCGGCUCGCUGGGCCGGACCUGACGCUGAGACGCGAAGGCGUGGGGAGCGAACGGG
rnacentral:rRNA from 1 species